UAACUAAGAUUGCCUCAGUAACGGCGAGUGAAGCGGCAAAAGCCCAAACUGGAAAUCUUUACACUGCGUGUAACGAAUUGUAAUCUACAGGUGGGACACUCAAUUAGUGGUGAUGCAUAAGUGACCUAGAAUGGUCCGCCAGAGAGGGUGACAGCCCCGUUCAUGGCAUCACCGCUUAACGAGUGCCUUUCCAAGAGUCGGGUUGUUUGGAAUUGCAGCCCUAAGUGGGGGAUAGACUUCCUCUAAGGCUAAAUACAUAUGGGAAACCGAUAGCGAACAAGUACUGUGAAGGAAAGAUGAAAAGAACUUUGAAAAGAGAGUCAAAAGACUUGAAAUCGUUGAGAAGGAAGCGGUAGAAAUUUAUUCUUCACUGCAGGAUGAAGGUGUUCGCCUAACUAAUGGAGCUUGUCAGCACUUAAUAAGGCUGCUGGUUUCACAUGGGGAAGCGAUAGCUGGAUCCUGCAGAGUGAGGCAAAAUGAGGUUACGUGCCAUACAAAAGCUUGGCAGACCUGGGCUGGUUCGCCAGUCAGUCUGCUUUUGUUAGUAUGGUCUUAGCCUGAGGAAGCUUUGUGCGAUUUUGCCAAAAUGGUUUUUACCGACCCGUCUUGAAACACGGACCAAGGAGUCUAACAAAUAUGCGAGUGUGCUGGUGGAGAAACCAACACGCAAAAGGAAACUAAUUGAUGCCAAGCUUACGCAGCAGCAUCGACCAACCAUGAUCCUCUGGUGAAAGGUUUGAGUAAGAGCAUAUCUGUUAGGACCCGAAAGAUGGUGAACUAUGCCUGAGUAGGGUGAAGCCAGGGAAACUCUGGUGGAGGCUCGUAGCGGUUCUGACGUGCAAUCGAUCGUCAAACUUGGUAUAGGGGCGAAAGACUAAUCGAACCAUCUAGUAGCUGGUUCCCUCCGAAGUUCCCUCAGGAUAGCUGGGACAAUAACGCAGUUUUAUUAGGUAAAGCGAAUGAUUAGAGGAAUCUGGGGUAAAUUGCCCUGGACCUAUUCUCAAACUUUAAAUUGGUAAGAACCUUGGCCUUUCUUAAUUGAGGCAUGAGGGAUCAAUGCGUGUCCCAAGUGGGCCAUUUUUGGUAAGCAGAACUGGCGAUGAGGGUUGCUCCUAACGUUGAGUUAAGGUGCCCAACUACACGCUCAUCAGAAACUACAAAGGGUGUUGGUUCAUACAGACAGCAGGACGGUGGCCAUGGAAGUCGGAACCCGCUAAGGAGUGUGUAACAACUCACCUGCCGAAUGAACUAGCCCCGAAAAUCGAUGGCGCUAAAGCGUGUGACCAAUACUCAACCAUUGUAGCGAGAGUGAGGCUACAAUGAGUAGGAGGGCGUGAACGUUGUUGCGAAGCCUCUGGCGUGAGCCUGGGUUGAACAGCGUUUAGUGCAGAUCUUGGUGGUAGUAGCAAUUAUUCAAAUGAGAACUUUGAAGGCCGAAGUGGAGAAGGUUUCCGUGAGAACAGCAAUUGGUCACGGGUGACUCGAUCCUAAGACAUGGGGGAAAUCCUUGUUAAGUUCACCAUUCGGUGAGUAGUCGAAAGGGAAUGAGGUUAAUAUUCCUCAAGCUGGAUGUGGGUGCUAUAUGGCAACAUAAAUGAGCUCAGAGACGCCAGCGUGAACCUCUGGAAGAGUUAUCUUUUCUUUUUAACAGGCUAGCGACCUUGAAAUUGGAUUAUCCAGAGCUAAGGUGGCAUGCCUGGAAGAGCUCCUUGCUUUUCGAGGGGUCAGGUGCGUUCACGAUGGUCCAUG
rnacentral:rRNA from 1 species